UACGUAGGGGGCGAGCGUUGUCCGGAUUCAUUGGGCGUAAAGAGCUACGUAGGCGGUUCAGUAAGUCAGGUGUGAAAAUCUCCGCGCUCAACGCGGAGCGGCCACCUGAUACUGCUGUGACUCGAGUCCGGUAGGGGAGUGUGGAAUUCCCGGUGUAGCGGUGAAAUGCGCAGAUAGUCGGGAGGAACACCAGUAGCGAAGGCGGCACUCUGGGCCGUGACUGACGCUGAGGAGCGAAAGCUAGGG
rnacentral:rRNA from 1 species